AGACGACCGGAGCUGUAACGGAGGUCUAGGGAGAUCUCUCUCUCUCUACACCGUGAUUGGGUACUGUGAAACACCAAUGCAAAUUGCAUGUGUUGUACUGAUUGAAUGCAGCCCUGACACCUUCAUGCUCUGUGGCUGAGUGCUACUACGUAUGCGUGGAGAACUCCCCGAAGUGCCAUCUCACAGACUGCGAUCAUCAAUGCGAACGAAAGAUCAGCAAAGAUCGGCUUAGGCACGAAAAUCGAACUCUGGACAGCUCUUUUCCAAUCUUUAGAGAUACGGGCAUAUCAUAUACGAUCAGAAGGAACUUUGAUAUAUUUUAUGAGCAGUACUAAACUGAUUUUCGUGGAAAGCAGCAUUACUGGAGCCAGCUCAGGUACAUGAACUAAUGUUACGAGGAGAAAAUAUUGGUUGGCUUAAAUUUUCCUGUUAUUGUGCAAUGAAAUUGUUCUUCCUCCAAGUGCUGGGCGCUGUCUCGCAUUAUUUCUCACCACCAAAUAAUCCCGGAGACAGAGCUCGAUCGAAGAAGCUGAAGAAAUAGGCCAUUUUCUUAUAUGAUCUUAUCCGAUUAUGUAACGACGACGGAGUUGUCAUUGAAUCGCGCGGCCAGCUAUCUUGAGUUCGGCUUGUACUAUCGCAGCCGACGGCCACGUGGGACGACCUGUCACGGACCUGUCACCAUCGAGCCUCAAACGUUCUAGCUGACCAUUUAUUUAUUUGUGCGGUACAACCACUGACGUCAACUCGACCACCACGACGUCAAUAUCCUCCACCCAUUGGGCACGAAGUAGAUGACAGCGCUAGGAGCGUGAGUGAGCACACCAGAGCGCGUGAGUGCAGCAGUGAGCGCGCCCGAGAAGCGUGAGUGACUGAGCACACCUUCCAGCGGUGGCCCAAGCGUGACGAGCACCGCCACUGCAGACUUGUACGUAUCUUGAGUACGUACUCAAAAUACAGAAUU